UUACUCCUAGGGCGCAGCAGUGGGGAAUAUUGCACAAUGGGGGAAACCCUGAUGCAGCAACGCCGCGUGAAGGAAGACGGUUUUCGGAUUGUAAACUUCUUUUCUUAGUGAAGAAGCAAGUGACGGUAGCUAAGGAAUAAGCAUCGGCUAACUACGUGCCAGCAGCCGCGGUAAUACGUAGGAUGCGAGCGUUAUCCGGAAUUACUGGGUGUAAAGGGAGCGCAGGCGGGACUGCAAGUUGGAUGUGAAAUACCGCAGCUUAACUGCGGAGCUGCAUCCAAAAAUGUAGUUCUUGAGUGGAGUAG
rnacentral:rRNA from 1 species